AACGAACGCUGGCGGCAUGCCUAACACAUGCAAGUCGAACGAAACCCUCGGGCCUCGUGGCGCACGGGUGCGUCACGCGACGGAACCUGCCCGCAGAAUCGGAAUCCCCCUCCGAAAGGGAUGCUAAUAUCGGAUAAUUUCUUUGCACCAAAGAUUUCUCGUCUUUGUAUGGGCCCGCGUUGUUUCAGCUAGUUGGUAAGGUAACAGCCUACCAAGGCGACGAUCCUUAGCUGGUCUGAGAGAAUGAUCAGCCACCCCGGGACUGAGCCACGGCCCAGACUCCUACGGGAGGCAGCAGUGGGGAAUAUUGAACUGUGGGCGAGAGCCUGAUCCAGCAAUGCCGCGUGAGUGAUGAAGUCCUUAGGGUUGUAAAGCUCUUUUACCCGGGAUCACAAUGACAGUACCGGGAGAAUAAGCUCCGGCUACCUCCGUG
rnacentral:rRNA from 1 species